UACGGGAGGCAGCAGUGAGGAAUAUUGGUCAAUGGGCGAGAGCCUGAACCAGCCAAGUAGCGUGCAGGAUGACGGCCCUACGGGUUGUAAACUGCUUUUAUAAGGGAACAAAGUGAGGCACGCGUGCCUUUUUGCGUGUACCUUAUGAAUAAGGACCGGCUAAUUCCGUGCCAGCAGCCGCGGUAAU
rnacentral:rRNA from 1 species